GACAGCAAGCAUCUUGACUUGGCAGUGGGGGAACAAUGUACUAAAAGGAACCAAGAUGAAAAUGAGGAGUAAACUUUAGCGAGGCACAUACUGAGGUGGAACUGAAAAGGAACUGAGCUACAGGUGCUCUGUUGCCCAAGAUACCAAGCAUGCUCUGCACGUGAAGGGCAGAGCUUCAGAGUGCCUAUGGGAACUAUGAAAUCCUUCUGUGGAGCUUGAUAAUAUUCCAUAAAUAUAAAGAGGUCUCCAGUAUUCAAGUUUACAGAAAUGUUACUGCUUUUUGAGAAAGUGUAAGGACACAGUCAACUUCCCAAAGUGGGGCACUGCAGGUCUAACAACACAGCUGAUACAACCUACUAAGAUUGGAGUCAAAUGACCCAGUAUUCGACGAGCAUUAACUCUAGGAGUAGAGAGCUCCCUCAGCCUAAGACCUAUGGCUUUUACACAUUCCUAACCACUAGCUCCCAGGAAACCCCUUUGAUUAGCCCCUGUGGGUUCAACCAGCUGGCUGGCAAGGGACCUUAAGGUGGGGGCAAGCCAUUGUACUCCAGACGUGCAGAGCUUAGAGGCUGGCCCAUGGGUCAUGCCCUCCUCCCACCCCUUCUUGAGGAGGCUGAUGGGGUACCCAACCCCAGGGAGGAAACUGCUAGGUACCUGCUCCAGCAGGAAAUCACCCAUCAGCAAAGGAAGGAAAAGGCAAGACUACACCAGAGCUGAAGAUCCACUGGAAUCAGUGUGAGGUAGACAAAGUGGCAAGGAAAGAUGAGGACUGUGAUGGAACAUGCUAUGGGACUGGAAGCUGGGCAGUCUGCCUGCUGUCAAUUACUGUCAUGUUUGUACAGGCUAAAAUAAACCAGGUUUCCAGCUGAUCCCCCGCACCUCUGGUUUCAUUAAUGGAUCCUGGGCAACCCCAAAGGCCCUUCGAUGUGGAAAUACCCCCUGGGGGGGAAGAAGGAUGCAACACCUCCUCACUAAGUGUGGGUGACUAAAAACUGCUUUCAGGUAGUGUACUGCUUUCAGGAAUGAACAGAGAAGGGAGCAAGAACCCUUGCAUUGCAGCAAGCGUGGAGGAUGAGAAGGAACUGAAAGGGAAAGCAUUCUCCCACCUAUUUUACUGGGCACUCCCUUGCCCUCAGAAUGCUGGAGAGUGCAUAUUGGAGCUACGAAUUCCUCCAUGGAGCUACUGCGCAGGCACAGAAGAUCCAGUUGUGAGGGAAAAUGGAUAAACUCAGAGAUUAGUAGCUUCACACACUGCAGAAAAACACUCUGGUGUACUGCCAUUUUCAAAGGAAGACUCACACAUCAUCAUGCAAGAGUCCUCAUAAAAAUGGUUCCUCCGCCUAUAACAAAAAUAAAGUAGCCACCUACAAA